UCAUCCCCGGAGCGACUGCGCAAGCGCACGACGAUCCCAUUCUUGUCCUGCAGGCAGCAUUCCGGGUGGAGAGUGUGAGAGAAAGAGAGAAAGACAGGAGAGAUUUGAGGCCGCACACUGUGUAUUUACAAUAAGGAAUACGAGCUGUAUGUUCCACCCAGCUGCGGCGUUCAAGCGGGAUAUGGGCUCUCCAGGUCAGAUCCCGGGACAAGACAUGGAGCUCUAAGCUAGCCCUCUCCAUCUAUCUCCAUUUGCUGCCUUGCACACUGCUCGCCAAAACCACCUCUUCUACCCCUGCUAUAGUGGUUUGGCUCAGACUCCUGUAAGAGAAGAAGAGGGGAAAAAACCCAAGUGGGAGGGAGUAGUAAACUUCCCCCAGCUGCUGACCAGACACACACAUGCUGCAUUGCUGCCAUUCCCCAAGCCCUGCUCCAUCCAUCCCUAGGGCACGGCCACUAGCUUGCUAGCGAGCACUUCACACAAAGACAAGGCCUGCCCUCGGGGAUAAAA